UUUCAUAUUUGUCUUGUUCAAUCUUUAAAUAAACAAUAAUUAAAAUAAAUAAUAAUUAAAAUAAAAUAAUAUAAAAUAUAAAAUUUAAGUUUCCCAUUUUGACAGGUUUGAAUCUGAUGGAUGAAUGAAAUCUGCUGUGUCUUUUGUUUUUGGGUGACUAUGAUUAGAUGGUUUAUGCUGUCAUCUUCUCUGUUCAAAAUACUGAUAUUUGGGUCCUUUAUACUGCCCUUUUCGGUGUCUUUUUUUGUUUUUCCAUUAUAGAUAACAGCAGAUUCCUUCCCACUUUUUUAUUUUUUAAAAUAAUGAAUGAAUAAAUAUUUGUUUUCUUGGUAAUUCUAUUUUUUCAAGAAAUUAAAGAAAAAAGUGUCAACAUUUCUUUUAUUGUUUAUUAUGGGGUUGUUGGUUGUAGUGAUGUUGAUGGGUUGGUUUCCUUUUGGUUCGCGGGAAUUAAGGCUCUUCUUGAUUCCUGUUCAUGCCUGAUCAUCUCCGCCAUCACCACAUCUUUAUCUUCUUCUCCUGUUCUUGUUGGCUCUGUUUCUCUCUUUUGGCUUCUGGGUUUUCUUCAGAAUUCAGAUUCCUAUUUGACACCAUUUUGUACUGUCUCUUGGAAUCACUUCCUUGUUGGGGUUUCAAGAGCCACGGAUUCAAAUUUUCCAAGAUUUUCAUCUCCAAUGGAAACUUCAGAUGGAAAUGAUUUCUACUAUUGAAGUUCAGAGUGACUUGAAGAUUGGGGUUUGUGCUAAUUCACUUGUGAUUUAAUCGUGUCUGUUGGUUUUAUCUGCAAGAGUGUUGAUCGUAAGCGAGUUUUGAUCCUUGUUCUAUUAAAUCUUAAAUGGACUUGCCCUCUAAGCAUCCAAGAUUCUUUGGUAGACAUUUGAAUUCUAUAGCAUGUAAAUGCCUUGCUUUGGUUGUUAUUUUGCUGUUUCUUAGGGUUGUACUUCUUCCCUCAUUCUCUGGUUAUGAUAGCAUCAAUCGGAAUAAUGUGGAAUUUACUCAUAGCAGCUCUCUGUCAUUCGACUCUGAGUAUGGAAUUCGUAGAGAUAAGUUCUUGGAGGUUCCUCAGAUAGUUUGGGGACUUAACAAUCAAAAGAUAGCAUUUGCUAGAGCUUGUCUCACUGCUAGAAUGCUGAACAGAACUCUUCUAAUGCCCAGCUUAAGUGCUUCGCUGUUCUAUAAGGAACUAGAUCGCUUGCAACCGAUUUCCUUUGACAAAGUGUUCCAAUUUGAGAGGUUUAAUUCUCUCUGUAAUGGGUUUGUGCAGUUGGGCCAUUAUUCGUUUCUUAGAAAUCUGACUGGAAUUUGUGAUCUUCCGAAAGGAAGUGGAAGGAAGUGGAUGGUAGAGAGAGAUUUGGAUCAAUUGAGACAAUAUGGCAAGGAUCCAUAUGAUGGUUAUGAGGUUAUUCGGAUAGUUGGAAAAAACCCAUUUCUGUGGCAUGAUCAUUGGCCCGUUAAGGAUUAUGCCAGGGUCUUUGAAUGCUUAGUUUUGGUUGAAGAGAUAGAAAGAGAAGCAUCUAAAGUUGUGUCAAAGAUUAGAGAAGUAGGAAGAGAAAUGAGAGGCCAUACUAAAUCUGCUCAAAGUGGUAUUGAUUCAGAUGGUUCGUCAUUGCAGGCAGUGCCUUAUGUAGCAGUUCAUAUGAGGAUAGAGAUAGACUGGAUGAUCCACUGUAGGAAGUUAGAGCAAAGAUCAAAAAUAAGCCAAAUUUGUAGUAGCAAGGAGGAGAUUAUGGAGCGAGUGGGGAACAUUGUGGGCCUGAAAACACCUACAGUUGUUUAUCUUGCAGUGGCUGAUAGUCUUCUUGAAGAUCCUUCUAUACUCACUGGUUGGAAGGAUGGUUUAGUUCCUUUUGAAAAGAAGAAACUGGGUGUCGAUGGAAUUUACAAGAAGUAUCCAUAUCUCAUUCAAUCAGCAAUAGAUUAUGAAGUGUGCUUAAGGGCUGAUGUAUUUGUUGGGAACAGUUUCUCAACAUUUUCAAGUCUCAUAGCUCUUGAGAGAACACAGAAGAUGAUUAGAAUGGGCGUCACACAUUCGUGUGGCUUGCAUGUGAGAUGGCCUUCGUAUGCGUAUAACAUACUAGGCGAAUCAAAUGGCCCUCAAAAAUGGAUGACAAAUAUAUCCGAUUCAAGUCUUAAAGCAGUCAGCUAUGGUACUAAUAUCAUCUCCUGCUGAAGGUAAUGGCAAGUAAUUCCUGGUAUGGCUGAAAACCAAUAGAAUAUUUUUGUUAAAAAUUUGCUGGUAUACUUUUGAACAUUUCUUUCAUUUCUGUGUAAAGAGAAUCAAUAUCAUAGUGCGUCAAGAUAGCAGUUAGCACCAAAUUGGGUACAGUUUUUCAUUUUUGUAAUUUCCUUUGUCAAAAUUUUGCUAAUUAUAUUGAUUUUUUUUGGCACUUCUUAUCCGGAGAAUGAAUAUCUUGGUUCCUUUCUUUGCAUAAUUUAUGUAGACAUAUUCUGGUACCAAAGAAUCCUAUUAAUAGCUAGAUUUAUUGAGAAUUUUUCCUCAUGCACACGUUGUCUCUUUAAAACUUGAAUUCUUAAGAAUAUUAAGAUUCCAAGUGCAGUUUGGUACCAAUGCAAUACUAUAAUGGGAUAUUGCUUAUUUCUGCAAUACCCUGUUUGGUAACAAACAGAACAGGAAAGAAAAGGAAACUUGAAGUCUUAGAAUUAUAUUUUUGGGAUUAUAUGAUACUUAUAAUUCUUCUCUAUAUUAUUCAAUUUUGUAUAUUGUUAUAAUAAUAAAUCUUAAGGCAUUACCAGCUUCUUUUUAAGCUAUUUCUUGUUAUUUGUUCAAUAAAUAUCCUCUCUCCACAAUCCUGCAUGACAAUAUAUAUAUAUAUAUUAUCAGUUCUUUUAUGAAGUU
rnacentral:misc_RNA from 1 species